rnacentral:rRNA from 1 species
UACGUAGGGAGCAAGCGUUGUCCGGAUUCACUGGGUGUAAAGGGUGCGUAGGCGGGUAGGUAAGUCCGCGGUGAAAUCUCACAGCUCAACUGUGAAACUGCCGUUGAUACUGCUUUUCUUGAGUUCGGGAGAGGGUGAUGGAAUUCCAGGUGUAGCGGUGAAAUGCGUAGAUAUCUGGAAGAACACCAGUGGCGAAGGCGGUCAACUGGCCCGUAACUGACGCUGAGGCACGAAAGCGUGGGUAGCGAACAGG